AGAGAAGAAAGGAUCAGAUUUGACACAUCAAAAAAUUGACCAGGAGAGUGACACAGAAGGAAUGGAUGAGGACUCUGUGAGUGACCACAGUUAUGAUUCCAGCGCGGAAGAAAUGUUUUUGGAAGGAAAAGAUCCACUUUUAGACCAUGGCACUGAUUCCGACUGGGAGCCCCCAGCGCCAACUUGUUCAUCCAGCUGGACCCCUGCUGUCUCUGGGCCAUCUACAGGUGUGAAGGCACCGACAAAGAAGCGGAAGAGGGGAAGUGUGCCACCUGCUAACAAAGGGACAGAAGGGCGUUGGCACACUGUCCUAGAAGAUGAUGUGGAGCCACCCCAACCAACUUUUCGGCCGAAAAGGAAGCCAGGACCUCAGGUGAACUCGACCACAACUUACAGCCCCCUUCAGCUUUUUCAGUUGUUUUUCACACAAUCCGUUGUAGAUUCGCUCGUGU